GGGCAUCCUUUCAUGACAGCUAAAGAAAAACCGCUGACGUUUAAAGAGAUGUGUAAUGAGGUCCCAAAUCUAUUCACCCUGGUGUUAAAAAAAAGUGUGUGUUGGGGCACCUAGGUGGCUAAGUUAAGCAUCUGACUCUUGGUUUUGGCCCAGGUCAUGAUCUCAGGGUCCUGGGAUUGAGCCCUGAGUCGCUGCUCAGUGGGGAGUCUGCUUGAGGGUCUCUCUCUCCCUCUGACACCCCCCAAUCUAUGUGCAUGUGCUCUCUCUCUCCCAAAUAAAUAAAAAAGGGUUUUAUUUAUUUAUUUGAGAGAGAGAGAGCCAAAGAGCACAAGCAGGGAGAGUAGCAAGGGGAGAGGGAGAAGCAGGCUUCCUGCAGGGCGGGGACUCCACCCAGGGCCUUGGGAUCCUGACCUGAGCUGAAGGCAGACGCUUAACUGUCUGGGCCACCCAGGUGCCCCAGUGCAUAAAUCUUUAGAAAAAAAGUUUAUCUUAACAGUAUCUGCUUCAAGUGCUAGAGGAGAAUACGAGUUGUUUUUUGCUUUUUGUUUUGUUUUGUAUUGCAGUGAAUUCCUGCUUCCUAUGAGACAAGAGAAAAGUGAUAUUUAUUGAGCCUCUACCUAUUAAAUGCCAGGCAUGGCGCUAGGGGCUUACCGGCGCUGUGGGCCUCCAGAGAUGCCAUCCCUGCCUCUGAAGGGGGCAUCCCAGGGACGUGCACAGCCCACAGGAUACCCUGCCUGGGGAGUUGACCAACACAGAGAGAAAACUCACCCUCUCCUGGGAGGUGAAGACUAUAGGACAGGCUCAGACACUACGCGAGGACUUCUGAAGAGAGAAGCACACAGUAAGCUGGGACAGUGGGGUAGAGAGAGUUCCUCUAGGGAGAUGAGAGUGGGAUUUGACUUGGGGGUGGGCGACAGCUAAAAGGGUGACAGGGGGAUAGUUCGGGGAGCUGGGGCGCUCUGAGCCCUCAGGGCCCUAGUGGGAGAGAGCCCAGGACACAUCUGGGGGGGGGGAUGGUAGGUCGGUCUUCAUCUUCUGAUAUAGAGGCUUCAUGGACAAGAGCAACAGAAGGGGAAGGGGCAGUGUUUCUGCCUUGACAUGCUCGUACACCCCAGGUCCUGCCCUCACAGAAUUGACCGCUUAGUAGGGUAGACGGAAGGAGGUGGAGGGAAGGUGGAGACAGACAAAGUGGAGGAGAAUGAAUGAGUAUGAAUCCAAAGGUAGAGAACAGAUCAGGUGCCGGAGGAAAAUUGUGAAAACGGGAAAGAGAAAGCAGGAAAAAAAGCUUCGAGAAGGAAGCACCCUUUCAUUGUGUCUCAAAGGAAGGGUAGGAUUUAAACAAGUGGGAAGGAAGGGAACUGCCUCUGAGACCGUGGCGGGUGGGAUGGGGUGUGCUUGGGACCAUCAGGAAAUCUGGUUCCUCGGAAGCACAGAGGAAGGGAAGGGCAUUGUGGAAUAAAGACAGUGGGAGAGGUUUGCCCCUGUGCCUGCUCCAAGGACGGGCUGAGGAACAAACUUUAAAGUUCCUUAUUUCCCCGGGGAUGAAGUUCCUGAAAGGAGGGACAGAACCAGAGUAGAGUCUACUCUGAGAUAGGACUGUUUUUCAGCUCACGGUGUAGGCAAGUUGGGGGCCCCUGCUCUCACGUGAUGGUGUGUGCGGAGACGUCACCACCAGUGGUGACUCGGUCACUGUGUGUUCCGGUCAGACAGACUUGGUGCGAAUCCUGGCUGCACCCCUCUUAACUCCGCGAUCUUGAAACAAAUUACCAUCCUUCCCUAAGC
ensembl:lincRNA